UAUACGUGCAUUCUGAUUCUUCCAAUAUUUUUCGUAAUAAAGAUUAUCUAAAAGAAAAGGCAUCUCUAAAAUUAUAAAUAGAACGUCUCGCAAGUUAUGCUGCAGACAAUAUGGGUCUUUGCAUUUCGUGCGGCCGUAAUUAACCGAGGAAACGUACAAUAUCUUGAACAUCGGAUUGUUGAUGACCGUUACAUAAAAUAUUGCGUGUAGAAACGACGUAAACUGGGCAGCUGUGCGCGCAGUGGGAGUUGUAACGGUGAACCUACUGCAGCAUUACUGCGCGACCGUAGGUGGUUUUACUGAGACGCAAACGUUUUAUCGUCAUGCGCUCGAAGCACACGGCUGACGAUAAAUCGAUAGUCAGUUCUUUGCUGCUCUUGCGCUCGUACGUGACUUUUCUCAUCGCUUUUUGCUAAUGUCGAGUGCAAUUUAUACAGAGAAUAAAAUGCUAUAUUUUUUUUAUUGUACAUAUUUCUUUGCUCGAGGCAGUUAAAAUUCCAUUUGACUUGUUAAUUUUCACGAUGGGACAUACGUAAAAAUGCGUAAAUACGAUAAUUUGGUGUUUUAAAUGCUCAAAGGAGAAAACGAGAAAACGAGAAGAGUGCACGCGCGGUUUUUAUCUAGUAAAAAAUUAAAUUUGGGACAGUAUAUCUUGUGUGCGCUUUUGUAAAAUUUCGGAAAAAUUGUGACAUCAAUAUUACAUUUAUUUAAAACUUGUACGUGUAUAAGCGAUGGACGAAAAACCUACCGUCGCGCGUGAAUGUUGAGCUGAGAUUUUCAAGAGAACGAAGCGUAAAGGCGGUGUCAAGUUACGUCCGUUUAAUUCCAGAGUAUCUCAUUUCGCUUACUCCACGAGAACGAUUUAUUUAUCAGGAUUUAAUACGUCAGGCAGAAAUUAGAGAUGCAAAUAGGAGUUCGCGUCGCGGUGGUCAUUAUCACGUCUAAUCGUGUUGUCGUGUAAAACUUGCUCACGUUAAUAUAGUCCGCUAAGUAAAACGAAUCUUUUUACUUCAUCUUUUUACCUGCCAGACACGAAGCGCGAAUCGACUGUCGGAAUCUGACGUAGUCGACUUGUUGGCGCGACAUUUUUCUGAAUGGUCAACAGACGCGAUAUCCCUCGUAUAAAUAAAUCCUCCUCGUUGUAUUCAUACGUUGCAAGACGUAUAUUUGAUCCACGUCGCGCCGGGAGAACGUUGAAUGAUGAAUGCACAAUACGUUAUGCACCGUCUCGUAUACGUUUAGACGCAUUGAAAAACUUUCUAAAUUAAGCUCACAGAAAACGAGAAAAGUAGAGAAUGAGAGGAACAGCUUCUUUAAGUUUUGCGUACUGAACUCUUUAACAAAUGACUUUCAAAAAAAGAGGAUAUAAAAAGAGAACAGAAUAUUGAAAGUACAAUUUUUCAAAGUCUGCUUUGGUAACAAAACACUGCGUCAGUACUGGAGAUAUUUAUGUUAAACGCAUCUCAUCAGCAAUACUAAUUUCUUAUCGUCUAUCUAAGAAAAAACAUACCAUGUAAUAUUUAUAGGACGAUUCAAGUAGUAUCUACGGGCGCGCAGUAUACAAGGUGGCGAACUUGUGACAACCGAUACACAAUGGAGAAAGCUAUAUUUGAUACUCGUUGGUAUCGCAGAAGCUGACGAAUGUGUUUACGGAUGUACGCCGGUGUUGCGUACGUGCAAGGGAAUGUGCUUCACGCGAACUGCAUCGGCAUGUCUUAAAUAAUUCAGCAGACCGGAAGAACUUCCACUACGUCAGUCUCCACUGACGUAGAAAAAUAAGGAAACAUCAUGGAGGAAAGACUACACGGGAGGAAAGAAUUCUGUUACCAAGAGCAGCAUUGUAGCUGCUCCUGCACACUCGGUCUAUAAGAAGCGAUGCUGCCAUAAUCAAUUAUUUGAUAUCACAAUAAAAUCUGUUUUAUUAAA